CCCGCCUUAGCUCAGCCUGGUUAGAGCGGUCGGCUGUAGACCUUACGACUGCGGAAACCGACAGGUCCCCGAUUCGAAUUCGGGAGGCGGGA
rnacentral:tRNA from 1 species